AGCAAGGAGUAUAGGCUGGAGAUUAGGAAGGAGUAUAGGCUGGAGAUUAGGAAGGAGUAUAGGCUGGAGAUUAGGAAGGAGUAUAGGCUGGAGAUUAGGAAGGAGUAUAGGCUGGAGAUUAGGAAGGAGUAUAGGCUGGAGAUUAGGAAGGAGUAUAGGCUGGAGAUUAGGAAGGAGUAUAGGAAGGAGUAAAGGAAGGAGGAUAGGAAGGAUGGUUCAAGCCCUGAAUGCUGAUUGGCUGGCAGCCGUGGUAUGUCAGACCAGGUAUGACAAAAUGUAUUUUUACUGCUUGAAUUACGUUGGUAAUAUUAAUAAGGUACCUCGGGGGUGUGUGGUAUAUGGCCAAUAUAACACGGCUAAGGGCUGUAUCCAGGCACUCCACAUUGCGUUGUGCGUAAGAACAGCCCUUUAGCCGUGGUAUAUUGCCAUAUACCACAAACCCCCGAGGUGCCUUAUUGCUUAAGUAUAGGCUGGAGUUUCUAGUUAGGUGAAAUUAGAUCUAAAUUUACCUCUGGAUGACAGAAAGAGAAGACGACCUUCAUGCUGGAUCAGAGCCUGUCCCCUAUUCACCCACACCCCUAUCCAAAGUCAAAAGCAUUAUCUAUCUGCCUGAGUAGAAUGGAGUCAGUAGGGUAUCUGUAAGCAGAUUGUGUUCAUUACCUAGAGUAGUUAUUGAUUUUGGUAUCAGGGUUGGUUCCUCUACAGUCAAUGGAAGGCAGGGGAAGUAAAUCAAUCCUUGAAGAAGCACUAGAGGAUUCCGGUACAGCAGGGCCUAUACAGCUGACUGGUGGACAGACAUGUCUGCUUCAGAGAACAGGAGGGCUGCAUAUAACCCAUCACAUCACAAAUAACCAAGGCAGUAAAUGACUAAGGCAGUAAAUAACCAAGGCAGUAAAUGACCAAGGAAGUAAAUGAACAAGGCAGUAAAUGACCAAGGCAGUAAAUGAACAAGGCAGUAAAUGAACAAGGCAGUAAAUAACCAAGGCAGUAAAUGACUAAGGCAGUAAAUGAUUAAGGCAGUAAAUAACCAAGGCAGUAAAUGACCAAGGCAGUAAAUAACCAAGGCAGUAAAUAACAAAGGCAGUAAAUGACCAAGGCAUUUAAUAUUUUCCAGAUAAAACUACAUAACCCCUUUUUUCCCACUUGACUAACAAUGUAUCAGGUGUGUAUUCCUCUAAAUAUCCACCAUCUCCUCAUAUGAUGACAAUGAAAUUCAUAGUCAACCAUUUAAAAAGACUAGACCUACUGAUGUGACAAAGACUACAACAUGAAAAGACACAAACUCAUCCUCACUUGACUCAGCAAUGUACAGAGCCAUUUAUUUUCUCAAAGAAGUCCUUUCGGAAGAUGAAUUAUCAUGCCCUGUUUUCCUGUUUAAAGCUUUAGCCAAUGGUGGCCGGGCUGUUCUCCUGUUUAAAGCUUUAGCCAAUGGUGGCCGGGCUGUUCUCCUGUUAAAAGCUUUAGCCAAUGGUGGCCGGGCUGUUCUCCUGUUAAAAGCUUUAGCCAAUGGUGGCCGGGCUGUUCUCCUGUUAAAAGCUUUAGCCAAUGGUGGCCGGGCUGUUCUCCUGUUUAAAGCUUUAGCCAAUGGUGGCCGGGCUGUUCUCCUGUUAAAAGCUUUAGCCAAUGGUGGCCGGGCUGUUCUCC
ensembl:lncRNA